UACGAAGGGGGCUAGCGUUGCUCGGAAUUACUGGGCGUAAAGCGCACGUAGGCGGAUACUUAAGUCAGGGGUGAAAUCCCGGGGCUCAACCCCGGAACUGCCUUUGAGACUGCAAGGCUCGAAUCCAGGAGAGGUGAGUGGAAUUCCGAGUGUAGAGGUGAAAUUCGUAGAUAUUCGGAAGAACACCAGUGGCGAAGGCGGCUCACUGGACUGGUAUUGACGCUGAGGUGCGAAAGCGUGGGGAGCAAACAGG
rnacentral:rRNA from 1 species